CCGAACUUGGGGUGGUGAAUGUAUUUAGGAGGAAGAGGUGGAAACUUUGGAAGUGGUGGGAGCUGUGGAAGUGGCGGACAUGGCUUCUUUGGAAUCACCACUACCGGUGGUUUGUAUACUGGUACCGGCGGAGGGCAUGGCUUCUUGGGGAUCACAACCGGUGGUUUGUAUAUUGGUACCGGCGGAGGACACGGCUUCUUCACAAUUGGUGGUAUGUAGAUUGGUGGAUGCUCUAUCUUCGGCGGCGGCUUGUAAACCGGAACUGGAGGUGGGUGCUCUAUCUUCGGCGGUGGAAUGACUAUCUUUGGCGGCGGCUUGUGGACUGGAACCGGCGGUGGAUCAACUUUCUUAGGCGGACAAGGCUUCUUCGUUGGUGGUUUGUGGACUGGCACCGGCGGUGGAUCAACUUUCUUAGGCGGACAUGGCUUCUUCGGUAGCUUGUGUACCGGAACGGGAGGUGGGUGCUCUAUCUUUGGCGGGGGCUUGUAAACCGGAACCGGAGGUGGCUUCUCUAUCUUUGGCGGUGGCUUGUAAACCGGAACCGGAGGUGGGUGCUCUAUCUUCGGCGGUUUAGGUGGACAAGGCUUCUUAGGAAUAGGCGGUGGAAGCUCCACCUUUGGUGGUGGCUUGUAAACUGGGACAGGUGGUGGAACCUCUUUCUUAGGCGGUGGAUCGUAAACCGGAACCGGCGGGGGAAUCUCUUUCUUUGGCGGCGGCUCGUAAACUGGUACCGGGGGUGGAACCUCCACAGGAGGACUGUAUUUAGGUGGACAUGGCUUCUUGAGAAACGGUGGAAGUUCCAAAGGUGGAGGUAAAGGGAAAGGAUGAUCAAAGCCCUUAAAAGGAGGCAACUUAGGCAUAGGCCAGAAGAAUUUGGAAACGCAAAUCUCCGGUGAAAAUUUCAGAUUUUGUUUGAGACCCAAAAUGUGUUUAUCCCCGGAUUUGGAUAAAAACACGAUCUUGGUGGACUCAAGGCCGUCGUGAGCCGGACAAGGUGUUCCCGCCGCGCUGUGAAGCUGAGCGUAACACUCCUCCUUUAACGCUCCGUUGUCGGAGACAAUGUCAUGAGGAAUAUUAAGACCAAACUUUCCUUUGUCGUCAAUGUUUCCCGAACCUUUUGUAACAAAAUGGCCUUUAUUCACCUUACAGUCGAUCGUCACUCGAAGUCCUAUAACAAAUAAUAUCACACAUUGAUCAAAUAUAUAUUCACAAAAAAAUAAACUAUAUAGUACAUAAGAUAUUAAUGUAAGUUAUGAGAUACCUGAAAAUGCAUGGGGGGUUUUGAUCUUGCUCUCGGCGUAACCGACAACUUCGACGACACGAGCGAGUGAGAGAGUCGCUGAUAAGAGAACCGACACAAGAAGGAGAAGACACGGAACCGAACCUCGAGGUUCGGGUAAGAUCCUCAUUGGGAUUCUCACCCUCUGAGAUUUCUGACACACUUCCCUUUCGUUUGCUGAAAAUAUAAAGAUUAUAAGAAGAACAAAAACAAACUAUAGAGUAUUAGUGGGGAAGGUGAUGAUAUGAUUAUAGUGAGACUUCUUCUCGUUUAUAUAAUGGUCUUAUCAAAGAUUUUUCUGAAGAUUGAUCGUAAUAAUUACUUCCGAAUUAAUUAACGUUUAGUUUUUUUUUUUUUUACCAACAAUAAUUGGAUUCGGCGGUUCCUAUUAUUUUGUAUUGUGUAUCAUUUAUUUAAUGUCGUCAUGGUCCAUCUUCUCGUUGUUACUUUCGUCUAUGCGGCACUUUAUGAUAUUUUUCAUGCAGGGUGGUUGAAACACAUUGACUUUUUUUUCCUUAAUACGACAACGGCAUUCAAAUUUUAUUUUUUGUUUCCCUCAUCAACGUUAUUGCACGAGACAUAUGCGUACAACUUUUGACACACGAAACUUUUGAUCCGCAAAUAUGGUUAAUUUUAUUGUUAUAGAGAUUGCAGGAUGAGCAUGCAUAUACUUUUUUUUUGUUUCACACACACGCUAUGGUUGAAAAAAGAAACUGAAUUAAUCAGUGCGUGUAUACGGCUCCACCAACCCAAAAUUGAAGCGGAUCACAUUAUGGUUAGAAGAGAAACUUAAAUGUUUUUAUGGAAAAAAUAUAGUCAGUCACACUACUUGUCGGCUUAUAUUUCUUGUCCACUCCGUAUAUAUUUAAGUAAUUAUUUUACCGGAAAUCCAUUACAAUGCUAACAAAUAUUCUUAACAUUUGCAGUUAUGCACGCCAUGAUAUCUACUGUUUUAACCGUAUAUACAUAACAAUAAAAUAAAGUAGCUAGUAGUAAUAAACUAACGAAAUUUGUCAGAGAAGAGGACUGAUAUGAUUUAUUGGCAUUUGGUUAGAUGGAGAUAGAAGUUAAUAUCUAUCAUCAAUCUACUUCGUCUCUGAAGUUAAUUGGCAAGGCCCUUCAAUAAAAGCAGCCAGCUCAAAAGCCUACUAGUAUUUGUUCCUUUUUCUUUUUUUUUUCUGGACAAGCUAAGCUAACUACUAUUUGUUCAUUUUAAUUUGAUGAAAAGUGUAUACGUAAACGUUUGAUUACUAAAUCUCGUUUUGUUCGAAAUGAAUAGAAGAGUUAAAGAACACUUAUGGAAUAUGAGAACGUAUCAACUUGAUAACAAAUAAGAACGCAUAGCACUUUUACAAAUUCAACUUUAUAUAUAGUACAAGAAUUCAGCUACAUAUGUAUCGCCGUAAUUUUCUCUGAAAACUAUUAUAUAUUGUUUUUACACAAAUGACCGAUAUCAAAUGUUGAAAUUCAAAACUUUCACCCACUCUUCAUUGCUAGUUGCUACUAAAUCCUUACACGUUCUUAUGCAAAAUUAGCAAUAUUAUCUGAUGUCGCAAAAUUGACAUGAUGCAUAUAUAUAUGGGUGCAUGCAAUGCAAUAGCUAGUCCGACUUUCGAAUCGAGAGACGACCUGAUUAGAUAUAUAAAAAGAUAAACUACAGUCCUGACUGCGUUCUAGGUGUUAGAAACUUACAACGCGAACUAGAAAUACAGAAUUGAGGAUUAUAUGUGAACGAUAUCAUAAUGUUGGUUGCCAUAUUAAAAGCUACACCUACUCAUCCACGCCCAUUAAUACGGUGGCUUUGGACAGUUGUACAAUAAGAGGUUCAAGUUUAAAGUUAUUAUUGUAUAUUCAUUUUCUGGUAUACAGAAGAAAUAUAUACUUUCAUAAUGUACACAUAAUCGCUAAUAAGGCCCAUUCUUAAAUGUACGUAAAAACAUGUAUUCAAUAGCCUAAUUGUGUAGAUGGUGAGUGUAUAUAGUCGAUCGGGGUAUAACCUAUAGCGACUAUCUAUGCUUCCUUUAUAAAAAUAAAUAUAUGAUCGCUAAUUUAAGCAAAAACAGAUGUGUCUUAUGGAAAAUUCUUUUUCCAAUAGAUAUCUAAUUAUAUAGAGCUUAACUUUUUUUUUUUAUAUUGCAUUUUGCUUUAUGUAUACUAUUAUGAUGUAUAAUAACAUAGUUAAAUAUGCUAUUUAUAAUGAAAACACAACCUUAUCGUGUGUUUUAGCAAAACAAAUCACAAAUUGUCUGUACACAAAAAAUGUUUUUUUUUCAAAACAUUCAGAGUUAAAAUUACAGUAUGUGAUAAAACACUUGAAAGUUAUGUGCGUAUAAAACAAUCAAUGUAUAAUAUAUAUGGAUUUUACAGCCCUAUGUAUAAGAAAGAUAAACCCUAUAUAUAUUAGGUAGCAAACUAGCAAUAAUAAAUGAAGUGAGAAAGAAAAAAAGUAGCAAGAAAAUAAAAAGAUCUAAUUUUUGGGCAACCAAGGAUAUAGUCCCACAUGGUGUGAGUUUUGCGAUAUUAGUUUUGUUAGGUGACAUGCGAUAAAUAUGUGAACUGUAUAUGGUUCCCCACAUUGAUUAAAUCGAAAAUUGUUUUAUGUAUGUAUGAAAAUUUGUUUUUUUUCUCUCCAUAUGUAUGAGGCGUACGUAAAAAUAUCCCGACGAAUGCAGAUCUGGAUGUUGACAUAUUCUCUGAAUAUACAGUUACAUUGUUUAUAAAAACUCACAUAGAUAUAUUGAAUGUAAAGGACAAAAGGACCCAGAGAUUUUUACUACUUGUAGAAGUAAAACACAAAGGUUGGUGUCCAGAAUUGUACGGAUGGAUUGAAAAUGUGCGAAAUAAUAUAUAAAUGCUACUUAUCUAACAAAAGUAAAACAAUGUUGAUACAUCUUAUAUCUGACAAUGUCACCAUGGGUGCAAUGAAUUCGAAUUCAUACCCAACUCGAAGCUAUAUGUACCAAAACAAAAUCGACUGAGGUUAUUCAAGUCAUUUUUUAUUUAAUCAUGUAACUCAAUUUGUUGGAAAGUUAAUAUUAAUUUUUGAAUAGAGACAAAUCUUUUCAGUCUAAUCAUUAACAAUUUGCAAACUCAAUAUACACCAUACAUCCAAAAAAGUCUUAAGCAAAAGAGUCAUCACGAUCGAGGUCACCAUCCUCCUCCAUUUUGCUGAACUGGAGGAAAUGAGUGGGUCGAUGGACUUGGUGAUAGUAUUCCUUGGGGGUUCCGAGUGUCAAGCUGUAGUUUAUGCUCACCGUGUGAUUCGCUCCCAUGAAGUUGUAGUUCCAGGGUCCGUUCUCAGGAACCUAUCAUUCAACAAUGUCUCAUUAUUUCAGUGCUAUAUAAUAAAAUAAUAUCUAUCAAUCAAGGGCAAACACACAAAAAUCAAGGGGUUACUGUGUGUUCUCACCAUGUAGAACCCGAAGAAACGGUCACUCAAGAGCAUUUGGACCUUCUCGUAGUGGGUGGGAAGGUAACCGUGGGGAUUGCUGCCUGUGUCUUUGUUCAGCCGUCCCCAUUCAUAUCCGGCUUGCGUCAGCUUAUAUGACGUCAAAGAGCAUGAGCCCGGAGUGAAACUACAUGUCAGGAUGAUGCAUUUUUCUGCGUCCCAUUGCUUGUUGUUCUCCAGAACACGAGUGUGAAAAGUCACAUCCUACAGCAGCACAAAAAAAACCCAGUUAUUACGUGUAAAAGUUCGUAAGAAAGUAUAAAUAUAUAUGCAUACCUGUGGUGACAACUGAGGAAGCUCGUUAGGCUGUGUGUGUAUCCAUCCCAGGGGCUCUAAAUCAUCCAAGAACUGAUGUUCCGGAAGAGACGACGGCAGUUGAACUUGCUGGUGAUUUCCGCAUUGUGGCACCAUCACAACACAACGGAUUUCCUUCACUUGAGGAUUAUCCGGCGGACUUAUCCCAUAUAAAUAUCCAGCAAUUUGAGUUCGAAGAUCCGCUAUGCAUAUAAACUUCUUCAAUAUGUUCUUUGGCAUGAUGUAGGUGUAUCCAGUUUCCUGUGAACAACAAACAAAUAAGUUUUAGGGACUUUACUUAUUAAUUUGAAUAAGCAAGUCUGAGCGAAUUACCUUUAUGUCAUCUGAGUUCACGUAGAUGUGGUUGACCCUGAGGUAGAGGUUAGUAGCUGAAAUUGCGCGCACACGCCAGUCUGUUUUGGAUCCGAAUGCAGAUUGCUCGUACGGACUAAUGGUGGUGCUAAUCAAUUCAUCACCAUGAACAUUUGUGGUUCUUGUUGUGACUGCAGUAAGCUGGCUCGCUUCCUUUGCCUGCAGGAGGAAACAUAUUCUUUUUAGAGUAACCAAAAUAAAUCUAAUUUCUGAAUGUCCCUGUUUCAAGAACCCUUGAGAGAAGUGACAGUUACAAGUACCUGUUUCUCAAUCUCAGCUAUCUGUUGCCUCUGCUGAGACGGUGGAGUAAUCUCCGCUCCAAGUAUUAUAUCUCUUAUCUCUGAUUGUGUCAGAGCUGAUGUAUUUACUUUGUUCUUCUUCGCGUAGUCGGAAAGGAUGAGAUCUCUAAGAGCAACCUCCACCUGAAUGUAACAAUGAAUCAUCUGAUGUGAGUAAGGAAGGAGGAUAACAACUUCACUAAACAAAGAAAAGAGUUACUUGAUUUUUAUUCAAAAAUAAGUAGAAACUGCAGAUGAAAAGACCAAGCGGUCUAAUCAGAAAAUACAACGGAACACUACUUGAAAGGUGGCGCAAGGGUUACCUUCAUCCAUUGGUCGUCAGUGAGAGAAGGCCAAAUGUGAUUUGGCUCAGUGACAACAGACAUGUCAGGCUUCAAUAACAUCUUUGCCUUCUCAUUGUUUACGUGAAGAGCACGAAGGAUCAGGAUGAGUCUUUGAAAGGCAGUGUACGAAGAAACAGUCAUCAACCAAUCAUCAUAGAUAUUGAAGAGGGCCAUCUGCGGCUCUGUGGCCUUCAAAAUCAGAUCACCAAAUUUUUCUAUCUUAAGACAAGCCUGGAACGGAAGCUGGAGUUCACUUCCCUUUAUAACAAUGUUUGGGAAAUCCAGCAGAUGAACCUCAAGGGGAUCCAACAUUCCUUUACGAGUCACAAUAACUUGUUUUGGCUGUUCUUCAACAGGGAGAGACCGCACAAGUGCAGCGACCUCUUCAGCAGUUUUCCAUUUUGCAAGCUGACCAAGGCGCUUCUGCCCAGCCCAAACGCUUGUAUGAAUGAUCUAGUGAGACAAAGAUCCCCAAUGGGUGUUAUUAUAGUUUUUUCAGAUAAAACAGCGGCUACGUAUUACAAUACAUUUACAUGUUACUAGUGGAAUUUAUGGGAGAGAAAAUUACCUUAAGGAAUAGUUGCCCUGUUCUUGGGUUGAAAAUAAAAAUCACACCAUUGAUUGGCUUUGUUGUUAGAUUUCCUUCAAAUGUCUUGUGGAUUGUGACACGGUAUACAUUGGUAUCAUCAACAAACCAUAUGAUCUGAUUGCUGAAUAUUUCACCAUAGUUUUGAGAUGACAGAUAUGGCUCUGUAGGCUCAGAUGAGUACAACUGCAAACCUUUCCUUAUCCUCUCUCUCAACACGUAUAGAGCGGGAUUUGACUGUAACAUUUAAAGUUUACACAAUAAGAGUCACAUAUGUAAAAGCCAAAUAAAAAUAAGCACACCACGAAUAGAAGUUCUAGUACCUUCAUGAUCUUGUUCAUUGCUUGAGCAAGCAGAGGUUUGGAACCAGGGAACCAAUUACCAAAGGCGGAAUGCAAGUUGUAGGCCAAAUCAAGCCCAAUAAUUACACCUGCGAUGAUUUCAUCAGGAUAUGAGACUUACUGCAGAAAAAAAUAAAUUGACAAACUGAAAAAGGCUAUUAAGUACCCGUUGGAGAUGGAUAGAUAGACAUGUUGUCCGUUGUGUAAUCCAUGAAUUUGGCCUUAGUAUAGCGUUCAAUAUCAUGGGAGUCAUAAUCUCCCCAUCGAAGUUGCACAUCUAUCCAGUACUUGUUACUCGCUUUCUGAUCAAACACAUCCUUGGACUCAGCGAUUAGACUAGGCUUAGACAUUGGCCAUUUAUGGGCAGCAAACAGAAGAACAUCAGCACAAGAGCUAUUCAUUUUGUAACUCUUCCGUGGAUGAAUUGUCUCUUUCUGCACAGUUUCUAUCUCCAAAGGUUCCAACUCUUGAUCCAGUACUUGGCAAAGGUCCAUAACAACACUCUCAUGGAUUUUUUGCCACAAAUGAGCACGGAAUAUCUGAAUCAAAGAUAUUUUAAGAGUAGGAAUCUUUCCGUGCAUAUAUAUUCCUGUCAAAUCCAACUGCACUUGGAAACCCACAUACACAUUCGCUCGAUUAAUUGUUGGCGACCACCAGAGCGUGAAUCUUCUAUUCGGAAUCUGGUUCAGACCAGACCUCUGUGCAUUUGUCAGUUUCUUAUAUUUCAUAGACUCCUCAAAACCAGAUGCCUUCUCCCAAAAAAGACCCUCCCAAGUUGGAAAGCUGGAUUCAUGUAAAGAAAAUUAUUUUAGCAAAAUUGAUACGGAAAGCUGUGAGCAACAAAACAUCAAAUGUCAAUGUGAAAGAAAGAACAUAAUAAAUUGAGCACGAACGAAAAGCAAGACUCACUAUGUUCCUUUAAAUAAGGUGUGCUCAAGAAUACCCUCAACACCUCCAAGAGCUUGGAUGACAUCAGUUCGGUAAUUGUUCAAGUUCCACAAUUUACCAUCAUGCCUCUGGUGUGUCCACCAGAAAGGAUUUUGUUUCAGGGCUUGGUACUGUUUGAAGUCGGUCCGGACCCUCCAACCUUUAUCAUAUGCUAAAGUGUGCCUAUCCUUCUGGAACAGCGUAUUUAUACGCGGAAUUCCCCUAUCCCAAGAGUCCUGUCAAAUAUUUUUUAACAUGAGUUAUUAUACUCUAAAAAUUAAACAUCAAGACUUCCCAAUCAAACUUUUAUUCUACCUUGUCGAUCUCCAAAAGAGAACAAGGCAACACUUAGAUAUCCUCUAAAAAUCCCUACAUCAAGUAGUUGACACACACAAAAAGCUACUUAAAGACCAGCAAAAGAGGAUAAAGCUAGCAAACUGAUAUCUUCUCAGAACUAUAAACUACGUAAAGAGGCAACAAAAUCACGAGUAAAAUACUUACUUCCAGAUCCUCCAGCGUCAGACGUCUAUUUUGGGCCUGAGCUUCCUGCCUCUUCAAAGCAUACUCUGCCCACACCCGCUGUGAAUCAAUAAAUUCGCUUUCCCAUGGUUGUAUGUAACGGUAAAGAUUAGGAAUCAGUUGAUCCUCCUCGUGGCUCAUUCCACUCCUGAAAUGGCUUACACCAACAUCUGUCUGGUUGCUGUACCGAAGGUCACUUUGUGGGAUCAAAAUAUGACCCAUAGACAACAUCCCAAGCCCGCCAAUUUCUUUCGGAGUGUAGAAGAUAACAGGAGGAAAUCUACCAAGGAAAAGAUGAACAAUCAGGUUUAAAAAACAUAACAUACAACUAUGAUACGUCAAACACAAUAUAGUAAGAUAGCAUUUGCUCACCGACUAGGCAUCUUUGAGUUUAGCCCAAUCUUAACCCUCGUUUGGAUUUUAUUUUCACAUUUAACAAGCAGAUCCAAGAGCUCUUGCGUAUGCACAGUGGCUUCACGGAAGUAAGUCAUGAGGCCUGUAUAAAACAAAUAAACGUGCUCAGCUUCAUGCUAGCCAAACAUUAUUAAACGUAAUCAGUACUGCCAAAAGAAAGGCGUACUACAGGAUAUACCUAUCAGAGCUGUAUUCCAUUUAUUGACGAUUUUGGUAAAUGUGGUUGACCCUGACGACAUAAGAAUCUGCCUCACACGAUUCUCAAACACCUUCAUGUGUUCAUCAUCAGCCCGCAGAAAAGCAACUGCAGUCCUCUCUUUAGUUUGUUCAUUCUGCAGAUUCCAGACACCAUCCCUUGUGCUGCUAAAAGCUUCUUGACCCAUCCUGAUUUUUGGAAGCACGCGGACUUCAAAUCCACACCUGCAGGCAAGAAUGCAAACCCCAGUCACUAUUUAAGCUGCACUAUCAAACAAUGACAAAAACAAAGGCCUAGCACUAAUGUACAAGAGCCACUAGAAAACUGAGACAAAACGCAUACAUGCUGAAAAGCAAGUUUGGAUUAUCCUUGCUGUACACGGAGACGAAGCCAUUCUCCCACUCCAAGGUUGUGAUGCUCCGUGGAAGACGAUUCUUCAUAUCCCAGAAGACACUUCUACCAAGAUUGACUGCAAGAUAAAUAAAUAAUGAGACAACAUCUGGUGCAUAAUGAUAGUCUAUCUAAAUAUAAAAAGGAGCAUACCAUCAUGUUUCAUUAACCUCAUCCUUGCAUCUCUUGGCCAGCAUUUUUUAUUGUUAUAUCCCACCAUGUUUUCAUUGUUGGGAUCAGGACGCUCGGUGAGAUGACGUUGAAUAAGAUCCCUAGCCUCUUCAUGGGUAAAUUUAAACAUUAUAUGCACUUUGUCUAUAUACCGAGAAUACAGUCUUAUGGGAUGGCGUGUCUCAACUUUUGUAUCCCAGUAGGUCAUAAACUCAUUAGGCCUCUGCGGUGGCCCGGCAAUUUCACUUGCUCGAGUCAAACCAAGGAGCAAAAGAUCUAACACUAGUCCAUAAAACUGAACAACAAACGAUGCGAACUGCAGUCCCCUAAUGAGUCCAUACGUAUUAGUAUAGCUCAUAUCCUUGUAAGACAGCACCACGUUAUUCUUGCCAGUCACAUAGUUUGCAAGCUUGGGAUCAAGAACCAAACGAAGAAGGCUGAAAGAAACAACAAAAAAGACGUGUUACUACAGAAAGUCUAAGUUCUAUGUCUGUAAUCACAUAAGCAUUUCACAGAGAGAUACCUGUUCAACACUGUCAAAUCAAUCUUCUCAAAGAGUUUUUCAAACUUCGUCUGGAGCAUCACUACACACUGACCAUCACUAGUGUCCCAUAUGCCUUGCAAAUUAUUGAUACCUUGACACCAUUUGUAAACCAGGAGCGGUGGCGGCUCUGAGUCUGCAGGCUUAAUCCAAUUGGGAAACAAGUGGCGCUUGUCACCCUCAUACCACAAAUACUGAUCAAGAUAAGCAUCAGUAAUUUUCUCCAGGGGAUCAAUUUGAUAGACUGGAAUCAAAUGGCUAUAUAGAUCCAUAAACUCUAUGCCAACCUGCAGAAAAAAAUAAUGUAUUCACCAUCAGAAUAACAUAGUAACCUUGAGAUCUAUAUGUUCAGAAAACUGCUCCAGAAUAGGUGCAUUAUCAACUUACUUCUUUGAAGCUAUGCUGAGUGAGAAGAUGACGCUUUAUUCGCAUCAGAGCUUCAUGAGGAUUGUCAUAAGCUUGUUCAAUUAAACCAAGCUCUUCUCUCUGCUGUUGAUUCAACUUCACAGCUGCACUAUAUGAUUCUUUCAGUCUCUCAAGGGCCAAGAUAAGCAACUUUGUGUCAUGUUUAUAUGAUAAUGGAGGGAAUGGGAUUGCUGAAAAUUUUCUAGAUUCCAGCCAAUUUACAGUGGUGCUAUAAAUUGCAAUUCCUUCAUCCGCUGUGACAUAUGGACCAUCUUUCUGAAAAUUAUGUUGUCGUUCCUGCAACAAUUUUACAAGGAAAAUGUAUUACAGAACUGGGCAAUCGAGAAUAAAAGGAACUAAAUUCAAUCAGACAAAAAAAUGAAGCCUCUUCGUAACCAUCUUUGUCAAACAACAAUGAUUUUGAUUUUACGAGUUGUGACAAGGUACAGACCUGUUCUGCCUUGAGCCAAAGACGGGUCAACCGUCCAAGAUUCUUUCUACAAACUGUCUUAUCAACAGUAGCCCCUCUUCUGAUACGUUCACGAUUGUAGUGAGCAACAUUUGUCCACCAAUCAGCUUUAGACUUGACAUAUCGGAGGAUCAUAUUCUCAAUUGCCACAGGUAAUCCAGGGACCUUCCAUGGUAUAUUAGCUUUCCAACACCGCCAUGCCUCACUAAGGUGCUGCAAUAUCGUCCGCGCCUUAUUUUGCUUAAUACCCUCUGCACAUUAGAAGACAGUAUAAACCAACAAGGAAGAGAUAAAAUUAAAGGAAAUCGACCUUGAGAAAAACAAAUCAGUUAUAGACGCAAGAAGCGAACCUGGCAUUGCAUCAACAACAUCAUGCAUGACAGCAGCUCGAAGCUCCAAAUCAAAAUGGCUUUCAACUCUCUGUUUUGUGACUGUUUUGGCCACUCCCUUUGAGUGACGCCCCUCAAAUUGACGUGCAAGCAGAUUCCCUAACCAUCGUUCUAGAAGAGGAACUAUUCCGCGAAGGAAAAACAACCAUACCCUCCACAUUGGAGCCCAAAAUCCACACCCUGGUCCUUUACCCACAGGACCAGUAUUGAAACGGUAAUAGAUCAAGUGUUUCAAAUCCUUGCACAUCCUGAUUUGUCUCAUAAGCCUGUACUUAUAACGAUACAUACCUGUCAAUUGCCCAACAUGGGAGAAAAUAUAUUGCAGGCCAUCAGCCAAUUGAAAGGCAUCAACAUUACCAAGUCGGAACUGGACAUUUGCAUCAACUACAAGUUUUGUCAGCCGGAGGAUCUCACGGCAGAGAUGGAAAGCAUUUCCAAAACGCGACUUCUUUCGUUCCUUGGUUGUCAGAGUUUUCACAGGCUUGAGGUUGAAGUUAUAAUCAAGGUGCAGGUAGUUCAAAUUCUUCCUGUGAAUCAACAGGUUCAGCAUAUUAUACCCCUGCCGGCAGACUUGCAGACCCACUUCAACCCAAUCCAGUUCGGUGCUCUGAAAAAACUUUGUAGCUGCAAGAGAUCGAAACAAAUGCUUCUUCUUCUGAGCCUUAGGGGGUCUAUGGUGCAGCUCAUUCAGUAGAUAACAUUUCAAAAGCUUCUGGUAACUAACCCGAACUUUGACAGGAUAUGCUGGAGGACUGCAGAAAAUGAGAUAACUAAGAAGUUAAUACAAUGUCUAGUAAAUUUCAAAAGGGGAAAGAGAACCACAGUAGCAUCAGAAAAAUUAGCUUACCAGUGCUCCUUAAACCACUCUGCAACAAGGGGUAUAUCUUCAGCCCGCCGAGUCCUCCCAGACCUCAUAUUGAAAGGCCGAGGGGCAAACAACAAUGAAAUGCCAGGAGCUGUAGUGUCAGUGUAGAGUGGCGAGUUAUUUAGCAAAGGUUCCAGUCCUUCUGGU
rnacentral:lncRNA from 1 species